rnacentral:rRNA from 1 species
CAAUAGCGUAUAUUAAAGUUGUUGCAGUUAAAAAGCUCGUAGUUGAAUUUUUGCUUGCCGCCGAUGUCGGAACUUCCGUACGUUCGGCGGCGUGCAUCCUUGGGUGGAACCUGUGUGGCAUUAGGUUGUCGUGCAGGGGAUGCUCAUCGUUUACUGUGAAAAAAUUAGAGUGUUCAAAGCAGGCUUACGCCGUUGAAUAUAUUAGCAUGGAAUAAUAAGAUAGGACCUUGGUACUAUUUUGUUGGUUUGCGCACCGAGGUAAUGAUUAACAGGGACAGUUGGGGGUAUUCGUAUUCCAUUGUCAGAGGUGAAAUUCUCGGAUUUCUGGAAGACGAACUACUGCGAAAGCAUUUACCAAGGAUGUUUUCAUUAA